CCGGCCGUUUGAGACUGUGUAGCUGCAGGAGGUGAAGGGCCCCAUUCCCAGCGUGGUGAUCCUGGUAAAACGCGGGAAUUGGGAAUGUGCAAGACUCCGCGAUUUCUCCAGAUGUUCCCGCCCCCAGGCCCAGCCCAACUGAGCCACAGUCAAGGCUCCAGUUAAGAGUGGAGUGUGCUCCGGUACGUCUGUAAGUAGGUUUGGCAGAUGACUUCCCCACCUACCCUACCUCUGAGAAAUAGCGUCCAUGAGUUGGCUUUAAUGUAUAAAUUGUGUCCCUGGAAAAUCAGAAUUGGGUCUUGAAGACACCAAGAGGGCCAUGGGGUGUGCAUGUCCCAGAGAGACACAAGGCUGGGGAGCAGGAGAUCUGGGCUCUGAGCUGGCCAUGAACCUGCGUGAGACGCGGAACCAGCACUGCAUCUCUUGGAGCGCAGUCUGGACGGUGAUGGAGAAGUGGGCGUCAUGCCCAUGUCUCAGCCUUUUCCCAGGCUUCCAUGACUGCUUUAUGCGAUCAGCUCAAACCUGAGAGCUGCUUGGCUGAACUGGCACUGAAGACCUGGACAUCGGAGGAAGGAUGGCUGACUGGAAAGACUGUUGUUAUGAAGGAGACCAAGGGAAUGCUGCUUGCCAUAGAAUAUUGACAGGCUCUGCAUAGCAGCAUUCCCUAUAUUCCUUCCCAGGACAAGUAGAAGAGACCAUGUUUCCAUGUCCUCCCACCAGGACCCGCCUACAUCGUCUCCACUGCCGGACUGAGUGAUGUAUCUGUACCCAAUUAGCAAAGUGCCUGUUGGAUCUCAGCAUGUGGUCAGAAAUAUGCAUACCAGUGGCUGUUUUGCUCCGCAAUUGGCCACCUGAACUACUACUGCGCAACAGGCUUUAAAAAUGGGUCCUGACCAGCCAACGGUGCUCGCCUGUCAAAACAGCCACAAAGGCACGUCCUUUUCUCAGUCCAGCAAGCGACGCUGUUCCACGCUCCUCUCUCUGCCAGACGACAGAAGAACGGCUAGUACCUCUCCAUCGAGACAUGACCGAGGUCUCCGGUGAGGAACACCAGCCCCCUGCAUCGGACCGGACCAGCCCAGCUGCCAGACCCCAGAGGACAGCACCACCGGGAUCCCCUUUAAACCUGUACCUGCAGCAUCAGGAACUUGUACCUGCCCUUGGUCCUGCUUGCGUAGAGCAGCCUCUUUGCUAGCAACUACUUGAAUGUCUCACACCUGCACGGUUAAAGUUUAUCUCAAGGGAUGCCUUAGAGAUAAACACUCCAGAUCCUUUCCUGGGAUCUACUUGGGACACCUGGGUUUCGCUGUGAAGGUGAAGAGCAGCCGGUGGCCGGCUGCAGAUCCCGGCCCAGGAAGGUGCGCAGCCCCCACCGGGAAACGGGGUUUUCCGCUGAGCGCCAUACUGGCUAUGGACAGCGCCUGCAGGGGUCUCCCUGGGACAGCCAAGUCUCCUGUCGCUGAGCCGAGGCACCUCCUGCUCCAGGCAGAACCUGGAAAAUAUCCAGCGAGGGUGGCCUGGACGGAGGAGGAGAGAAUCUGGCAGACUUCACUUCUCAGUGCCACCAGGAAGUAGCUGGUUUCAGCAUCUUCCGUCUCCAUAACGACGAUGCCAACUUCCUGCCAGACACCAGGAGGUAAACACACUGCCAAGGACCUUCCUAGGGAGUGGUUGGCCCAUGGCAACCACAAGGCUGCACCUUAAAAGCAGUCCUCGCUGGCCGCUGCUAUUUGUGGGAUACUGCCUAUGCGAUAAGGGCUGUGGGUUACCAGAGGCCCCGAAAAUGUGAAGACAACUUUCUGGCUUUGUGAGGCAAGAGUUGGUGUACCGCUUCACUCCUUAUUUGGCCACCUUGUAACAGUAACAGUUGAGAGGGUGGAAGGAAGAGGCAGGAGAAAGGGGAAAGGAGGAGAAAGGGUAACAUCUCAUGUUUGUGGAUUGGAAAACAAUACUUUUACAAUGGCAGUAUUCCCCAAAAUUGAUCUACAGAUUCAACACAACUCCUAUCAACGUUUCAAAUGAAUGCUCUCCAAAUUAGACAAGUUUAUCAUAAAAUUUGUAUGGAAAUUUAAGAAACUGAGAGUAGCCAAAGCAAUAUUUUAAAAGAAUAACACAGCCAAGCCGGUGUGGCUCAGUGGUUGAGUGUUGACCUAUGAACCAGGAGGUCAUGGUUCCAUUCCCCAUC